AAUGAGCUAAAGAGACAAACAUCUUUUAUACAUAAUUCUAAGAAACAUCUUUUCAUUCUCACUCUAUAAAGCGAUCAAAUGAUUCCUAUUUCUAGAUUCAUAAAAGAAAAAAUAUGGUUAAGGUUUAUAUGUAUAUUUAUGCUAUGAUUAUGUUUUUUUCCGUAUUCAUUACUAUAACUAGUGGUAAGUAAUUUUUAUCAACGUUUUUAAAUUUGGUAAACUAUGAUAUCUCAAAGCUUAGUUUGGUAUUUAUAUUUUUAUACAAAAUUCAAAUACCAUACCAUAUUUUCAUAUUAAUUUUUAGGGUUAAAUAAAAUUUUGGUCCUUAUAAAUAUGACAAAUUUCGUUUUUAACCCCUAUAAAAAAAUUUAAGCAAAUUUGAAUGAUUUUUCGUCCCUACUUUUAAGUCAACUCAUCUAGUUUUUUGUUUUGUUUUGUCAAUUCAUCUAUAUUACUUGAUAUUUUUAUUUUUUUUUAUGCAGUCAUGUUAAAUCAAUUAUACAAACCUCUCUUUUAAAAUAUUAAUUUCCGAUCCAUAUUUUCGUAUUUUUUAAUGAGUUUUUGUAUUUACGUUUAUAAUAAUAUAAAAACCUCUCCCACAAAAUUUAAUUUUUUUUAACAAGAGACAAAUUAUAUAUGAAUUUUUAAGUUUUUGCCGCUUAAAAAAUUAUAUUUAAUUCAUUUUAUUGAAAAAAUUCUAAAUUUUUGUUGUAGAGGUUUUCACACUAAUAUAAACAUAAUUACAAAAACUCAUUAAAAAAUAUGAAAUUAUAUACAUAUGACUUGACUUAAAAAUAGGAAUAAAAAGUUAUGACACAAUAUUUGAGAGACCGGUGCUUAAUGAAAGUUUGUAUAUGACUACAACAAAAUUUUAGAUAUUUAUAAGGAUAAAAACUUGUUUAACCCUAAUUUUUAAAUGAUUUUUCUAAAUUUAAUAUAUUUAAAAAAAUUCCUAAUAAUUUACCUUUAAUUUUCUUAUUCAAAAUUUUUCCAUCCCGAUUUUGAUAACUUUCCUAUAUUCUUAUUAGGGAUAAACUGCGAAAUUAAUUCGGAUUGUCGAGAUCAUGUUUGUAGUGAACCUGACAUUCCAGUAUGUGGGUUUCUGUCUCCGGUUUCACCCGGAAUAGGGACUUGUGGAUGUUUCAAGUAUAGCACAUUGAAAAUUAUAUAUCCGGAAUAGGGACUUGAGGAUUUUUCCAGUAAAGCACAUUGGAAAUUAUAUAUUAACAAUGGCUUUUGAAUGUGUGAACAAGCCGUAAAAUUAAUUAUUAAAAAUAAUUAUAUUGAUGUUUUUAUGAUUUAUUAGUAUAAUAACUGUGCCUCUAGGCAAAUAUUGUGUGUAAUGUUAUAUUAUUGGUUGGUAUAAAGAUUGUUGCCUCUUGUCAAAUAGUUAUAAUUGUAAUAUUUAACAAUGUCAAUUUAUUUAUAUGAAUAAUACCGAACUUGUUGAGUGAUAUUUUUCAUUUUAAUAGUAG
rnacentral:lncRNA from 1 species